ensembl:lncRNA
GUGAAAAUACGGUAAACCUGUCGCCAGCUUCAAGCUACGCGAGCUUUAGCAGGAUAUAGAUUUAAACGAGUAUCGAGAGGACCCAAAACUUGAAUGACAUUGUGUAAGCUCGCGUGUGUGCACAAAUAAGGCGAAAGAUUCACAGUUUGGACGCAGGCUAACUGGCUAAGUGAGCCGUCGGCAAGACCCCACCACCCAAAGAUUGAAACGGAGAUUAAAGCCAACAUCUAAUCUAUUAAAGAGGAUAACCAAUGUCACACAUACCAAUCCUCUAAAGCAGCGACGCCAAUGAACUGACAGGUGGAGUUUAUUUCCAUUCUCUCCAGCACACCCCCUGGAAGGCCCCAACAUUGGCUGACUGCGUGUUUGAGUGUGCGUAUGGUCAGCUGAAAGGCGAGAGAACUUCACAGAGUCAGAGAAGAAAGCGCAGGCAUGGCUCAAGGCACUCCCUUGAGGCCGCAUCCCCCUGAGCUCCUUAUAUAAUGCCUUCUCAUCUGCUAAUAGACGGCAGCUGGGCCUGAUAGACUCACACGUACACAUUCAAGGAAGUCUCUGAAGUGUCCCAAGGGAGAACUUGAACUCUUGUCCAUUGUUUUCUGUUUGAUCACAUACUCACCUGUAAAUCCUAGGAUUCCUCUGAGCUCUGAAGUCUUCUUUUCAGAAUCGCUCCACUGACCUGGAUCGGUUCCCAGGAGUUUUGAGGUGUGUGCAAGCUUAGCGCUGCUCUUUCACCUGUUUUUUGUCUCUGUGCAAGCUCCAUCAAGAGAGGUGUUUUAGCUGGAGCAUUCCUCUCAUUAUAUGCACCUUGUUUCAAAAAGUGAAAAUUUGAUCUAAUCAGCCAUGCAGGUGUAAGCCUGUUUAUUUGGGAAGAUACUGGCCUGUCCUUCGAAACUAAACUGUGGAUUAGCAAUGCUUCGACUCAGGAGAGAGACACUUGCGGUUCCAUUUUUUAAGGUGCAGUGUAGCACACUUGUUGGUUGAAAUGAAGGAAAGACAUUUUUAUAUUUUCUGAGUGUGGAUGGUCGGGGGAAAUUCUUAACGGUUGAUUCCUUCGUUGUCAUUGCUCCCUUUAAAACUG